rnacentral:lncRNA from 1 species
GGUUCUUGUGUCAGACAUGAAGUGAAUAAAUUGACCACCAGCAUUAUUCAGAGACCCUGCUCCAUCAUUAGCCUGAAAGUAGGCAACACGCGAUACUACGCUAAAUUCACGGAAGUCAGUCGGUGAAAUUGAAGGAGGUGAGCUGUCUUGAUUGUUCUAACUGUGAGCAUCUCAGAACUUCGUCAUUACUAGAAGAGUUGUCUUUUCAUUUUUGUCGAAUAAUCUUUUUGUUUUAUUUCAACAGGCGAAUAAUGAACGAUCUGACCACCAUCACCAGAGAAUAUACAUCCAUGAGAUCAGAGCUUGAAAGGAGUAAGAGGGAAGUUCAAGAUUUGAAGCAACAGCUUCAGUCUUACGUCGACUGUGUUAAGCGAUAUGAAGAUGAACUAGCGCGCAAGGAUCAUGAAAGGCUUGAAAUGUUGGAGCAGUUUCGCAAUCUGAGUGAAGAAACAGCAGCGCUGGAACAAAACCAAUUUGCUAGUGGAAAACUGAAGCCAAAUCAACACAAUCUUCUUUACGCGAAGCUGAGUCUAAGGUUGAAGAGUUACAGAGAUUUAUCGAAGACAAAGAGCGGAAAAUCAAAACAUAUCAUGAAGAGUUAAAUGAACUAAGGUUCCAGCUGUCGCACUUAGAAAUGGAAACUUCUUCUCUGAGGGAAGAGAAGUCAAAAAUGGAGAAUGAUCUCUAUGCCAGUCGAGACCUAUCAACAACCGUCCUGUCAAAGAAUGACCAUUUACUGGAGCAGAUGAAUGCUUUGACUGCACAUAAGACUGCGAUGGAAGCUGAAAUAGCAGUCCUGAAAGAAAGUAUGAAUGACAUAUCGAAAAAAUAUCGAGAGUCGAAUCGAGACAUGCAAGCAAUGCAUGAUCAGAUUUCAAGUUAUGAGAAAGAGUUAUCAAUGGAAGUUGAAGUGAAUGACAAGCUGAAGCAUGAAGUUGCCGCUUUAACUGAACAGUUAAAUCAGUUAGAAGCCCAGUUAAGAAUGAAAUCAACUGAAUUAGAAAGGAUAGAAAAAGAAUCAGCCGGCAAUAAUCAAGAAAUUUCUCAGUUACGUAGAGAAAUGAUCAGUGCCAGAUAUGAGCAGACCCGAUCCGAUGAGGCGAGAAGAGAAUGCCCUGUUAUCCCACCCUAUACCUUUUCCAAAAUCGUCUAUUGUGAAGCUUGCGUCCCAUCAAAUUCCCCAGAUUCGUCAAAUUCUAAGCAAAUGGAUCUGAAAAGUUUUUCAUCAACCAUGAAUAUUGUUGAUUCCAAAGCCUCCGACAUUAGCAUUGAAAAACCAUGCACCCAUCUCUCAUAUACCUCCUCCUCACCGCAGUCCUGCAAUGCAUGGAAUCAUAAGAACCUCCGUUUAAGUUGUACAUAGUUGUACCAAAAAAUCAGCAAUAAAUUUGAAAUCUCAAGCAAUACUUCUCUAAUUUUUCCCUGGAACUUAAGAUCUUGGCUUAUUUUUCUUUUCAUGCUUUCGCCCAUUUGCUUCUACUGUCAAGUCUGAGUUUUGAGCUUUUAAAAGCACACUGCACCCUAAAUUAUAAAAAACUGUCAUGGAGGUUGGCUAAUACAGAUGAUGGAAAGUUCGAUUAAUACAGAGGUCACCAAUGACUGGCCUAGUUUGAUACUCCAUCUGUAAAAUGUGAUGAAAUAAGCACAAAUUUAAAGUAAAAUGUUGUAUCAAAUAUUUACAAAGGUUAGUAAGUGUGCGAGAGUAGAAAUAUGAAUACCAUGUAUUAGGAAAUCAAAUACAUCAUAAAUAGGAAGGAUUAUAGCAACAGGCAUGUCUUGCCUGGUGGGAGAAAAUACGGAAAAGAGGGGAAAACAUCAGCCCCAGGCCCGCCACAAGGGGGAUACUGGGUCCUUGGCACCUGGGCCCGGGCCCUGGAGGGUGCAUGUACGGCUACUGACUUCUGCAUCGUGAAAUUCUAGAUUGUAGACUGGUGUGGUUUUUUUUUUUUAUUUUCUGCUCUUUUGACUGUAAUUCCUACGUAAUGCACUGCAUUUUCAAGCAUGCUGAAUGUUCACGGUUGUGUUUGCUGAGUAGAAAAUUAUCGUCGAGAUUCCGCACUUAACUUGCGUUCGGGACUUUGUUUCAGCGAUAGUCAAACCUUGUGACCAGACCUAACCAGCGAGAUGGGGACCCUCACCUCCUUUGUGAUACUUUUUGUGUGUCUUUAUUAUCUCAGUUUAAUGUGUUCAUUGUUUCAUGCCUUCUUUUCACUUCUUUGUCGGUAAUCGUUACCUGCCAAUCAUUUUGCAUUUAUAUUGAUUUAUCUCUUAUAUUAUGAAAUUGAAAAAAGUUGUUUUAUUUUAUGAGUUUUAGAAUUUUGUAUUAUACAAUUUAUUUUAGGCACCUAAAUAAUAGAUUUUACUCCAGUUUUUAUUGCUGUUAGAUGCUCGGUGAAUUUGUAUUAAAACUGAACGUUAGCUUUAGCAUUCAAGCAACAAGAUCUCCUAUGACAUUGAAGGAAAGAGUAUCUGCUAUUGAGAUUAUGUAGGCUUUCAGUCAAUACAGAAUUUAUUCGUGGGAUUGCUGAUUGUGGUUCCUUGAUAACCUAGUUAGUUGAAAAUUUUGUUUUUAGUUUGCUCAUUUGCUGAUUAUUUUACUCUCAUUUCCUCUAAGUGUUUUAACUGUUUUUUGCAAUUGGGAACACUGCUUUCAUCGUCUAAUUUUGUUUUACCAAAUGUGAAUUUUUUUGUGUAUCAAAAAUCGGAGUUUUCUUCUCAGUGACUUGAAUGAAUGAAUUGUAAUGCUUGAAUGGUUCCUGAAGUCAUCAAGGCUCACUUGCAUUCCUUCCAUCGUAUUAAUCACCCCAGGGACAUACAAUUUUAUUGGGUUAGGUUCGGCAGCCUCAUUGAAAUUUGUACUUGAAAUCUGUUGCAUUUUUUAGAAAAUUGAGUCUGGCUUUCUAUCUGCAGAUGCCAAUCGAAGCCUGAGACUUACUUUCCAAUAUGACACAAUGAUUUUCAUGCUCUCACAGGGUUUUUGUAGCUGAUCCUGCUACACUUCUAAAAUGUAUUACACCAAUUGUUUCAUCCAAUAUGACCUUGUGAUGGCAAGUUUCUUAUGUAUAAAAGUAAGAAAAUGCUUGAUAAAAACUUUUUACUCUCUUAAUGAUAAAAAUGUCGUAUAUUGGUGUGAAAUGUGCACAGGUAUCCAUUAAUCAGUUGAAAUAGGUCUUACUGAAGGUGAUAAAAAUGGAAGUUAAAAUGUUUCAUGCAAGAAAAUGUUAUUCUUACAAAUACAAAAUCUUAAGACUGAUAACGAAACUAAUUAUUACUGAGUUAUAUCAUAAGUUUGAUGUGGAGACAUCUUCAUGUUCCACUUAAAAUUUGAAAAUUAUUCUAAGCUAUUGACAAUCUUAUUUGCCUUAUGAGUUAAAGACCAGGAUUUUUAUCUCAUGGAAAAGCCUUAAUUUUAGCAAGUGCUCUAAAGCAAAUGCUUUUUAAAUUACUUCCAGAUCUGUCUCAACUAUAAAAAGUGAUAGACCUCCCAUAGUUUUCAACUUUUAACUUUAAUCAGUAUUGUUUGAUUUACCAGUAGUUUUAUUGUAGAGCUCAUGAAUCUUAAUAGACGCGUGUAUGACACUUCAUAGAACUCUCAAGAGAAAGAACAGUGUGUCUCUACUAAAAAAUUGCCAAGGAUCAAUCGGAUGAAUUGUGAACCCAAGAAUACUCCUUUUAUACAUUUUGUUACUAAUUUCUGUUUAUUCAUUUGAAAAAUUGUAAAUACUGUUAGGUUACUUUGUUGAGUUUGAUGAGCUGUAUAUUUUCGAUCAACUCUUUAAAGAAAAAAAAGGACGUAUACUUAGAAAUUACUUUACUUACUCAAAGUUUGCUCAGUAUCAACUGCAUGAAUUGUCAACCUCAGAACACUUUUUAAAUACAUUUUGUUACUUAUUUCUGUUGUUUUCCUUUUCGCCUAAUUCAUCAAACCGUUUUUCCAGUCAAUCAACUUAAAGUUUGAAGAAAU